CUGCUGGAAGAGGGGUCUUUAGAAACAGAAAUAAUCUGAAAAUAAAAACCUCUCUGAGCUUCUAGCAGACAUGACCUACUGCAGUGUACUCGUGGAGUCCCAGUCCUCUGACGAGGCCCUGGCUUCUCUGUGCUCCCCGGGGUUCCUGGGCAGGCAAGGUAGCCCGGCGGUGUGGUGCCAGGGCCUUAGGCUUCUCCCCUGCUGGGCUGCAGCUCCAAGGGUGGAGCAGCAUCUGGUCAGGGGUGCUCAGUGAGGGUAGGCCUGCUGCUGGGGCCAGGGUGGCGCAGGGGCAAGUGCUGCACAGACCCUCCUGUCAAUCACCUGAUGAAGCGCCCAUCCCACCCGUCCCAUGCACGUCCCAAAGGCCUCAACUGUGAUCAGGGAGCCUCCCUGCUGAUGUACUCAUCUCAGUGGGAAGCCUGAGGGCUGAGGGCUGCUUCCUCACCAUUUGGCUUUCAUCUUCCUUCUUCUCAGCUGGCUUGUCUGACUGGGAGGCUGCUUUUCUCCUAGGCACAGACAAGGGGAAGAUACAGAUCAGCUUUUCAGGUUCUCUCACUGUCCCAGAACUCUUCUGCCUCCUCCCUGCCAGACUCACCCCAGUCUUCAGAUAAACCUGUGCAGGAAAAUGAUGGCAUGAAGAAGGAGGCUUGUCCAGGCCCACUCUGGUGAGGAGCCAGGCCCGGGUGAGUGUCCAGGCCCUCUGUGUGCUCAUGGCCUGGGACAUGAAACUGGUUUAGGUGGAGAGGGUGAGACGACCCUGUGUCUGUUUGGCUGUACUGGUAGCAGCUGUAGCAUCCAAGGGGUGGAGGAGGCAGUUGUGCUCUGUUCCCAGGACACUGAAGGCCUGGCUACACGGGACGGACAGGCACCUCUCCGGGCUGCAGUCUGUCCCACAGGUCGGGACACUGGACACUUUCCUUUGUCACCCUAAGGCCCUCCUGUCUUGGAUUCAGUUAACCAAGCCACACCCUCUCUAAUCUAGAAUCUAGGAUGCCACUCAGGGCCUGGAAAUGCUAAGAGGAGCCUUGGAAUAGCUCACAUGAUGUCCUUGAGUAGCUUCACACACCUCCCCUGCUAUGAAUCCCUGUUUCACAUAUUCUAAAACCUCACCCGUAUUGUUUUGGCCUCAGUGGUAUCUGCUGACCUCCCACGUCUACACAGGCAGACCCUCAGUGUUCCCCAGAGAUAUGUUUCUGUGGUUCUUAAACUUGAGAUGAGCUGCCCGUCAAGCAUGGAGCUGGUCUGAGGCAUGGUGAGGGGCCGUGGCCAGGCUGUCACCUGUCUGUGAUGGGCCCACACGGCAGCCUCUUCAGCUGCAGCAGGGGCCCCUUCUUUAGCUCUCAUCUCAGCACAGGUCUGCCCACCUUGUUCCUCAGCCCAGUAACCAGGGAAUCAUCCCUGAUACCAGCUUCUUUUAACAGUCACCCUGGUCAGUUCUACCUCUGAACCUUUUUUCUGUCUUCACUUUCAACACCUUCCUACAAGCCCCCAUCAUCUCUUCCUGGACUCUCAGAGUCUCGUAACUGGCCUACCACCGUCACCACCUACUCCCUAGCAGCCAGCGCCCCAUCUCCUAGAAACAGAAAGCUGACCAAGCCACCCACUCGAGUGGAGUAUAGGUGGGAGAAAGUGCUGCUGAACGGGAGCUCUCUGUCCAUAUCAUUUCCCUCCUGUCUUCCCCUGCUGGGAGAGAGACUCAACUGCAUGCCCUCAGGGCAGGAGACAAGAACCUGCAUUAAAAGAAACUUUGCAAGGGCAAGGGCACUCUCUUCAUCAGCUUCACCCAGUAGCCAUCACUAAAGUAGAUUUCAAAGGGCAAUCUGAUUGAUCUCUGCUAAGCUAUGCAAAGCAUGUUCUUGGGAGGGCCUGGACCCUCCCACCACCAUCUGGCAUCUCACUGGCUCCGGGCAGUAUCAGCCUUUUCCUGUUCUCAAAAAGGUGCUUUCCCUCAACCUGGUCUAGGACUUAGGGAAAGCAUUAAUAUUUUCUUUUCCAAAAUGAUUUCUAUUCUCUGCAGCCCAUCCUUGCCUCCGAGAUGAAACCCGAUGCCCUGCACCACGAGGCUCCCUCUCCCAGCCUGACUCUUGGUCUAUUUCCUCCACACCCAGCUCUCCAGACACAGGGGGCAUUAGCCUUCCCAGGUACCUUAACUCCGCCCACUGUCCCUCUUACUGCACAGGAGUUCUCAUCCUUCUGCCAGCCCUCCCGGCUCUCUCAUCCAUGGAGCCAUGUGCCUCUGUUGUGACCACUGUCAGCCCUGCACACCUGGACUUACUAUCAUAGGAAAUUGCUCAGAAGCCUGCCUCCUGUCUUGGCGAUUUACAUACACCCAGGCUGUGCCCCUGCCAUGAAGCGCUACACCAGCUGCCUGCACCUGUGGGCCUCUGUCAUCUCACUUCAUCCUCAUGGAGCCAUGGGAAGGGUGUUUGAGAAAAUUGAACAAGACAAAGGACAUGAAAGCACUUGGAAAUUAUCAAGCCCUUUGCCUAUCCGUGAAUACAAUUUCUGGAAAACUCUUGUCCUUCUCCUUCAAUGUGCUAACCUCUAUGGAAUGUCCAAGCUGGACGCGUGGCAGGGCCUCCCAUGGGAAGUCUUCCCUGAUCCAGGCUGGGCCUUCAGCACCUGCACCUCACAUGACAUAAGGGAAGACCGACAUUUUCCUUACUACAGACCAGCCACAGGCCCUCCUCCGUCUAGAGAGAACCACACUGUCAUUUGGUAUGCCGGGGACACUGCUACGUGCACCACAGCGAGAACUCACAUUCCAGUUCCUUAUGGCGGGGUGGCCUCAGGGUGCUCUUAAAGGCAAGCUGAAUGAGGACACUGAGCCCCAGAUACAUCUACAGAGUCCAGGAACUGAGUUCUGGAGUGGGAGGCACCUUAAGAAAUCAUCUAGACCAUGGACAGCAGCAAGAGUUCAGCUGGUGUGGUGCAAACUGAAUGCCUGCCACAGAAACACAGGGUUAAGGAAUGUUCUGAGGGCAGCUCUGGGCUUGGUGGGAAGGAGUGCCAGAAACGUCUAUUUCAUGGGGUUCUUGCAGGGUAUAUGCCUGGUAACUAAAAAAUUAUGGACAAGCCCCUUUUAGCAUUAAAGUCUGAAAAGCUCCCGGCAACAUCUGUAUUACUGU